CCUACGGGAGGCAGCAGUAGGGAAUAUUGCUCAAUGGGGGAAACCCUGAAGCAGCAACGCCGCGUGGAGGAUGAAGGUUUUCGGAUUGUAAACUCCUUUUUUUAGAGAAGAUAAUGACGGUAUCUAACGAAUAAGCACCGGCUAACUCCGUGCCAGCAGCCGCGGUAAUACGGAGGGUGCAAGCGUUACUCGGAAUCACUGGGCGUAAAGAGCGCGUAGGCGGGAUAGCAAGUCAGAUGUGAAAUCCUAUGGCUUAACCAUAGAACUGCAUUUGAAACUGUUAUUCUAGAGUAUGGGAGAGGUAGGUGGAAUUCUUGGUGUAGGGGUAAAAUCCGUAGAGAUCAAGAGGAAUACUCAUUGCGAAGGCGACCUGCUAGAACAUAACUGACGCUGAGGUUCGAAAGCGUGGGUAGCAAACAGGAUUAGAUACCCCGGUAGUC
rnacentral:rRNA from 1 species